GACAGAGGUCCCGAGCGUUAGGCGGAAUCACUGGGCUUAAAGCGUGUGUAGGCGGAUCGUUAAGUGCCUUGUGAAAUCCCACGGCUUAACCGUGGAACUGCUUGGUAUACUGGUUGUCUUGGGCCAUCUAGGGGCUACUGGAACAAACGGUGGAGCGGUGAAAUGCGUAGAUAUCGUUUGGAACGCCAAUGGUGAAAACAAGUAGCUGGGGAUGUGCCGACGCUGAGACACGAAAGCCAGGGGAGCGAACGGG
rnacentral:rRNA from 1 species